AUGUUUUUUGGAUUUUUUUUUUGUUUUUUGGGAUUUUUUUUGGAUUUUUUUGGGAUUUUUUGGGAUUUUUUGGGAUUUUUUUGGGAUUUUUUGGAGGAAUUUUUGAGAUUUUUUCGAAAUUUUUUAGGAAUAUUUUGGGAAUAUUUUGGGGAUUUUUUUGGAUUUUUUGGGGAUUUUUUGGGAUUUUUUUGGAUUUUUUGGGGGAUUUUUUGGGGAUUUUUUUGGGAUUUUUUUGGAUUUUUGGGGGAUUUUUUGGGGAUUGUUUGGGAUUUUUUUGGGAUUUUUUGGGGAUUUUUUUGGAUUUUUGGGGGAUUUUUUGGGAUUUUUUGGGGAUUUUUUUGGAUUUUUUGGGAUUUUUUGGGGAAUUUUUGGGGAAUUUUUGGGGAUUUUUGGGGAUUUUUUGGGAUUUUUUGGGAUUUNNNNNNNNNNNNNNNNNNNNGGAUUUUUUCGGGAUUUUUUCGGGGGAUUUUUUGGGGAUUUUUUGGGGAUUUUUGGGGGGGAUUUUUUGGGGAUUUUUUGGGAUUUUUUUUGGAUUUUUUGGGGAUUUUUUGGGAUUUUUUUGGAUUUUUUGGGGGAUUUUUUGGGGAUUUUUUUGGGAUUUUUUUGGAUUUUUGGGGGAUUUUUUGGGGAUUGUUUGGGAUUUUUUGGGGAUUGUUUGGGAUUUUUUUGGGAUUUUUUGGGGAUUUUUUUGGAUUUUUGGGGGAUUUUUUGGGAUUUUUUGGGGAUUUUUUUGGAUUUUUUGGGAUUUUUUGGGGAAUUUUUGGGGAAUUUUUGGGGAUUUUUGGGGAUUUUUUGGGAUUUUUUGGGAUUUUUUUGGGGAUUUUUUUGGGAUUUUUUGGGGAUUUNNNNNNNNNNNNNNNNNNNNCCGGAUGGAGGCGGCGUCGGAGCCGCUGCCGGGUUCAGUCAGGCAAAAAGCGGCCACCAAUUCCCCUAAAAAAAAUGGGAAUUUGGGGGAUUUUUUUUGGAAUUUUUUGGGAUUUUUUUGGGAUUUUUUGGGAUUUUUUGGGGGAUUUUUUGGGAAUUUUUGGGGAUUUUUUACGGAUUUUUUCGGAUUUUUUUGGGAUUUUUUGGGGAUUUUUUUAG
rnacentral:lncRNA from 1 species